GCCCGGGUGGCGGAAUCGGUAGACGCACGGGACUCAAAAUCCCGCGGCCUAUGGCCUUACGAGUUCGAGUCUCGUCCCGGGUA
rnacentral:tRNA from 1 species